GGAGUGAGGGCAGAGGUGGACUGUGCUGAAUGGUGGCUGACUAGAGGUGCCCAAGAAGGUAGGAGUGAGGACAGAGGUGGACUGUGCUGAAUGGUGGCUGACUAGAGGUGCCCAAGAAGGUAGGAGUGAGGGCAGAGGUGGAGCUCUGAGUCCAGGGCUUGGGCAACAGCAUCGAUGAAGGCAUGUGUUUCCUGGUGAAAACAUGAUAUGGGGACAGUUUUGGGCCCCAGAAGCAUGUUGAGAUGGCGCACAGAGAACGAGACAGGAUAGCUAUGAAUCAUCUGAUAAGACUCACAAGGGUGCACUAAAAAGAAUCUGAGAUUCAUAAUGUGGUACGAUUCCUAGAAGUUAAACUGAAUGUCUCAGCUAGUCUAAAUAGUGUUUGGUUUUGUUGUUCUGAUCUCUGCCUGAAGGGAGGGACUUCAACGAUACCGAUGCCUGUGAACGAGACCCUGUCAUUGUCAACCAUUAAGACCAUUAAAGGCGUGGGAAAGGAAAAAGUAGAAAUGAUUGUCUCUAGGGUUAAAAAAAAAAAAGCCUUUUUCCUGGGAAUAUCAAUAGUUAAUAAACCACGGAUCUAAAUAUCAGGCAGUGUGUGCUCUGUGCGAGAAGGAGAAAAUUUCACAGGUUGUGGACUAGACAAAUUAACAGUUCUCCUCUGUCAGCACCUAAAAUCUAUACCAUGGCUUCUCUCUAUGGUAUGAGGCAAAACGUGCCAACAAAUUGGCUUAGAUGAUCUCUCUGGAAAUGUGGAAGAAAUUAUAUACUGGAGAGAAAGGGGGAAAUUCUUGUAAGUGUUGACAAC